rnacentral:rRNA from 1 species
UACGUAGGCGGAUCAGAAAGUAUGGGGUGAAAUCCCAGGGCUCAACCCUGGAACUGCCUCAUAAACUCCUGGUCUUGAGUUCGAGAGAGGUGAGUGGAAUUCCGAGUGUAGAGGUGAAAUUCGUAGAUAUUCGGAGGAACACCAGUGGCGAAGGCGGCUCACUGGCUCGAUACUGACGCUGAGGUACGAAAGUGUGGGGAGCAAACAGGAUUAGAUACCCUGGUAGUCC